UACAGACGGUCCAAACGUUAUUCGGAAUCACUGGGCUUAAAGAGUUCGUAGGCGGUCAGGCAAGUGGGGUGUGAAAGCCCUCGGCUUAACCGAGGAAUUGCGCUCCAAACUCCCUGACUUGAGGAGGCUAGAGGUAAGCGGAACUGAUGGUGGAGCGGUGAAAUGCGUUGAUAUCAUCAGGAACACCGGAGGCGAAGGCGGCUUACUGGGGCCUUUCUGACGCUGAGACGCGAAAGCGUGGGGAGCGAACAGG
rnacentral:rRNA from 1 species